rnacentral:rRNA from 1 species
AUGCAAGUCGAACGAGAAAGUGGAGCAAUCCAUGAGUAAAGUGGCGACCGGGUGAGUAACACGUGACUAACCUACCCUCGAGUGGGGAAUAACCUCGGGAAACCGGGGCUAAUACCGCAUAACAUCUUCGGAUCAAAGGAGCAAUCCGCUGGAGGAGGGGGUCGCGGCCGAUUAGCUAGUUGGCGGGGUAACGGCCCACCAAGGCCAUGAUCGGUAGCCGGCCUGAGAGGGCGCACGGCCACACUGGAACUGAAACACGGUCCAGACUCCUACGGGAGGCAGCAGUGGGGAAUUUUGCGCAAUGGGGGAAACCCUGACGCAGCAACGCCGCGUGGAGGAUGAAGCCCCUUGGGGUGUAAACUCCUUUCGAUCGGGACGAUUAUGACGGUACCGGAUGAAGAAGCACCGGCUAACUCUGUGCCAGCAGUCGCGGUAAUACAGAGGGUGCAAGCGUUGUUCGGAAUUAUUGGGC